CAGUAGCCACGGGAAUACAGAGGGUGCGAGCGUUAAUCGGAUUUACUGGGCGUAAAGCGUGCGUAGGCGGCUUCUUAAGUCGGAUGUGAAAUCCCUGAGCUUAACUUAGGAAUUGCAUUCGAUACUGGGAAGCUAGAGUAUGGGAGAGGAUGGUAGAAUUCCAGGUGUAGCGGUGAAAUGCGUAGAGAUCUGGAGGAAUACCGAUGGCGAAGGCAGCCAUCUGGCCUAAUACUGACGCUCAUGCACGAAAGCGUGGGGAGCAAACAGGAUUAGAUACCCCCGUAGUCCCUGUCUCUUAUAC
rnacentral:rRNA from 1 species